GGAGUCGCACCUCAAUUGUAGCCACCAACGGCAAUGAAUCAAUCAGAGAUAACAUAAGCAACGUCUUCGGUGCAAAGCAGCUAUCGAGUCUGCUUGAGUUCUGUCAGUCAGAAGCCAAAGACGACAUUUGUGAAGACUUUGGAAUAAAACCUCAACAAAGGCCUGGGGUCAAAUUUCAGAUUCAAGGUUU
rnacentral:sRNA from 1 species